AGGAACAAAGCAAGAUCUGGUCUCUACCUGGAUGAGAAAAAGCUUUCCUCUCACCAGUAGAAGAGACAACACGAAGAACAAAGGAAGCAACAGACAAAUGCCUUCAAAUCAAUAACCCACCAUAUAGUGUCAAAAUCAUUCUUAUUACCAAACACAUCAACUACUAAAAAAGGAAGGAGAGAGAGAGAGAGAUACCAGUUCCAAAGACCCAUCUUGAAAGGAUCGGACUUGCGGUAAGUGGAGGAAGAGAGGUUGAG